rnacentral:rRNA from 1 species
AAAGCAUCUUCGGAUGUUAGUAGAGUGGCAAACGGGUGAGUAACGCGUGGGAAUAUACCUUAUAGUACGGAAUAGCCUCGGGAAACUGGGAUUAAUACCGUAUACGCCCUUAGGGGGAAAGAUUUAUCGCUAUAAGAUUAGCCCGCGUCAGAUUAGCUUGUUGGUGGGGUAAUGGCCUACCAAGGCAACGAUCUGUAGCUGGUCUGAGAGGACGAUCAGCCACAUUGGGACUGAGAUACGGCCCAAACUCC